rnacentral:snoRNA from 1 species
AAGACUAUACUUUCAGGGAUCAUUUCUAUAGUAUGUAAUCUGGCAAUCUUGUAACCUUAUUAUUAACUACAAAUAAAAAUAUGAAAAAAAGAAACCAUGUCUUUU